AUCGCUUCUCGGCCUUUUGGCUAAGAUCAAGUGUAGUAUCAAAUGCCUCAAAUAACUAUCCUCUAUCAAAUAGCCUCUCCUGCAUGUCUAUUUUUUAAAUUCAAAUACUUAAAACUUCUUGGGUUUGGGAAGUAGCGAAUUCUUUAUAUUUUUAGUCAUUUCCUUAGGUGGUAAGAGACAGAUG
ensembl:snRNA U2 U2 spliceosomal RNA